rnacentral:tRNA from 1 species
ACCUGGGUGGCUCAGUCGGUUAAGUGUCUGACUUCAGCUCAGGUCAUGAUCUCACAGUUUGUGGGUUCAAGCCCUGCUUCGGGCU